rnacentral:lncRNA from 1 species
GUAACUGAUGCUCUACAUUUGUUUGCAUUGGAUAAAAUUGUGUGUGCUUGUUUACCAUAUAUAUAUAUAUAUAUAUAUAUAUAUAUAUAUAUAUAUAUAUAUGGAUAUAUAAUUCGAUCUGAGCUGGGACUGAGAAGAAAAUAGCAAUUGCAACUCAAAGCAACUAUUUACACACAUUCAAUGCUGAAGUAUUGCUUCCUGCCCUAAGUUCCUAAGAGGUAUUGCCACCCUGAAGCACGACCCAUGCCGUCAGCAGCCCUCGUGCCAGCUGCUUAGAAACUCGUGUCUCCAGCACGAUGUGCUCGCUGCCAACAGACAAGAGAUGCACGGCGUUUCCGCUGCAGAGAUUCUGUGGUUCUGCACUGAGGUAUGCAUCGGAGCAGGGGACGGGGAGGACCCGAGGGGCUUCGUGGCCCAGAGAGAACGUCUGCACUGGCUGUUUAGGAAGGCUCAGGGUGUUUGAAAGACAACGUUAAGCUCUGGGUGAGUCUGCACGGGGCUGAACCAGACUCCACUUUGCAGCUCCUUGGUUUCCCGGGGUGAGGAAUCACAAACACCUUUGUGGUUGGGGAAGGAAAUGGGCUUGAUGGGGAAGAAGUGUGUGCGGAGAACUUUGCGGAGCAUGUUCUGAGCGAGACAGCAAGGUCGUGAGCAAACGCCCAGCCCCUCAAAGCUACACAGCCUGGAGGGGAAAGGGGAGGGGAGGACAUUCAAAUAUACACCUUAAUACUGAUGCAGAAAGAGCUUCAUGUGACCACAAUCCCCACGAACAAGGAAAGCAUCAGGUAGUGUUUUUUAAGGAAAAAAAAAAAUCUGCGGUGUUUUAUAAUACAUUCUUUAGAAGCAAGAGGUAUUGUCACAACCACCCUUUCUUCGGUAUUGGAAGACCAGCAAACUGACAGUCACACCUGACAGGAAACCUUACAGCUAAUGGGGGGAGGUGCCCUGGACUCUCAGGACGCCGGGACCCUGGCUCUGGCUGUCCUGAUGGGUGGCCAUCCCAGGCACCGCCCCUGGAGAGGUGGCGGGUCAGAAUUGUGACUUCUUCAUGCCGGGGAGGGCAAUCUGUAUGUCUCUGGGGAGGAGUAGUGAUGAUGGGGACUGAUGCGGUGUGAAAACGAGACAGUGAGAUUUGACAGCGGAAAGCAAAAUGCACAGGGACAACGGGCAAGACUGACAAGGAGUGCACCCUGGGCCUCAUCAGCGUCCCGGGGUCCCCUGAAAGACUGGCUACAACUCCGACCGGACAACUCGGGCGAGCUCACUUCCACACAAACUUCAGACUCAAUAUGGCAAAACAUAAUCAGACAGGACCAGCAGCCAACUGCCCGGACGGAGCUCCCCCACACCACCCUCGGGAUUCCGCCCCUAACAAACCCCGCGUUUGCAUCCAGAUGCCUCUGUCCCUAGAUACGGUGUGAGAACUCCAUUUCAGAGCUGGAAUUUGCUCCCCAGAUUAAAUCCUGCCACUGAUAGGCCCUGUGCCAUCUGAGAGCGGGAGGCAGCCAAGAAACUUCUGGAAUUUGUGGAAGCCAAGAUGGCACCGGUG